rnacentral:tRNA from 1 species
GGAGAAAAUGCUCAACUGGUAGAGUGCAUGCUUAGUAUGCACAAGGUCCUGUGUUCAAUCCACAGUACCUCCU